rnacentral:rRNA from 1 species
UGGGGAAUAUUGCACAAUGGGCGCAAGCCUGAUGCAGCCAUGCCGCGUGUAUGAAGAAGGCCUUCGGGUUGUAAAGUACUUUCAGCGGGGAGGAAGGGAGUAAAGUUAAUACCUUUGCUCAUUGACGUUACCCGCAGAAGAAGCACCGGCUAACUCCGUGCCAGCAGCCGCGGUAAUACGGAGGGUGCAAGCGUUAAUCGGAAUUACUGGGCGUAAAGCGCACGCAGGCGGUUUGUUAAGUCAGAUGUGAAAUCCCCGGGCUCAACCUGGGAACUGCAUCUGAUACUGGCAAGCUUGAGUCUCGUAGAGGGGGGUAGAAGUCCAGGUGUAGCGGUGAAAUGCGUAGAGAUCUGGAGGAAUACCGGUGGCGAAGGCGGCCCCCUGGACAAAGACUGACGCUCAGGUGCGAAAGCGUGGGGAGCAAACAGG